ensembl:lincRNA Gm17767 uncharacterized LOC110321149
AACUGUUCUCCUGUCCUUUCUCCAAGGGGCUUGAAAUUCAUCUGCCUUCUGAUAUGCAGUUUUGAGGGAGGAAGAAGGCUAGUAAAAAUGGUCCCUUCCCCCAUCAUUAUUACACUGUGUGGCUCAAGUGAAGCUGACUCACUCCUAGCAUCUGGGGUUGUCAAGCCAUGGACGCACAGCGCAUCAGGUGUUUCAUUUCUCUCUGAGGACAGAGACAGACCCAGCUGAAUCACUGAAACAAAGCUUCCCAGGAGAUUUGGAAGAAUUAUAACAAAAGAGGCCUUCCUUUCUCCAGAAACCGAGCUUCUAGAUCAUCUAUAAGCCUGCCUCUUCCAGUUACAAUCUUUACUCCUCAGAUGAGGGAAAUUGAUGUUAGAAAGAGAAGAACACAUUGCUGAGAAAGGCAAAUAGUUGAAGGUACUCUGAUAACACCAUUGGUGGUUUGAUGUGUUAAAACAAGGUUUUACUGCAUAGCCCUGGCUGGCUUUGAACUCUUGACAGUCCAUUUGCCUCAGCCUCCCCAACUACUAGGAUUAUAGGGAGACAUGAGCCUAUGGUUAGUUUGUGGAUGUUUUAAAAUUUUAAAAUAGGAUAUUUCAUUUCAUCGAAUUAUAGGACAACUAAGAAGCUCACACUUUGGUGUGUGUGUGUUUCUCAAAAGAAAUUCCUGUUUCUGGCUAAUGUGUGUGUGAUUUACAGGCAUCCACUGAUACGGCUGGAAUCUUUGAACCUUGUGCUCAAAAGCAGAGCACUUUGUACAAGGCUGGAGGGCAAAGUGGAAGAAAGGUAGUGGGCCUGGCCCUGGACAGGCUCAAUGAUGUCAUAUGCUAGUUGCCUUCUUGGAUUCCCUAGCUGAGUGGCUUCCUUCUAAGCUAUGAUGACUCAUGCUUGGGUGAGCUGAGCUACUGCUGUGACUGAGCCUCUGAUUAGCUCUUCAGCAACAGCACACCUACAGACCCAGACUUCUCCAUUUGCUGUCCUUAGGCCCAGAUAUGUUCCUGGAGUUCCCAGUGUGGUGAUCAAAUACUCUCUCUUCUCUCUCUCUCUCUCUCUCUCUCUCUCUCUCUCUCUCUCUCUCUCUCUCUCUCUCAUUGCUAAGGGGUUUAUUAUUUAUAAUUUUAAAUCUAGAUUAAUGUAUUUCUUGUGUUUAAUGAAGUUUCUGUCAAACAUGUUACUGAGUGAGUAUUAGAAAUUACCAAUUUUUUUUUUCUGUGCUGUUUUGGGCUUCCAGUGUAUAGUAGGUGUGGUGUGCUGGACCUGGAUCUGACUGUCUUUCAGGGAUCUUUGUACCAUGGGCUUGUCCACAGGUCUGCUUCUGUCCCAUCAGCCUUCCCUCUGGUUUGGUGGGACAUGUUUCAUGGGCAGUGAUCCCUGUGUACAUUGCCAUUCCUUCUAGUUCGUCCACAGCCAACACCCUUUGCAAACAGCUCUUUAUUUAACCUUCCUUAAAUUGUCCUAUUCUUAAACCCUGAAUGCAACCUUUCUUCCCAUUGUCCCAACUGAUAGCAGAUUAAUCAUUGUUCCAGUGACACAGUAGAUUCUGACUGACAGUAAGAUGCUCUCCAAAGGACUGACAUUCUCACUUUUAAUUACAUCUACCACACACACACACGUCAAAACAUUUCAACAUACUGCCCAAGGGUUCCCUCCCCUAAACAUGAACAAUAUUUGUCUAUUGAGAAGAAAUUAAAUUUAAAACAAACAAGAAGCUUGUUUCCCCUGACUCAUCUUUCAAGUAUAAUAGGACUUGAACAUCUAGGUAUGAAGAACUACUUGCUCACCUCAGAAUUUCUUUUUAAUUAUUUUUUAUUUAUUUUUAUUUAUUUUAAAAAUUUUUUACCUCAGAAUUUUUUAACCAGGGAAAAUACUCUUUAAAAUUUCCCCUUAGUCAAUUUAAAUUAUAGAUAAGAUUUUAAAGUAGCACAAGAAAAAGACGAUUAAGAAUAAAACUUGGGGGUGGGUGCAAUGUGUGUUUCCAGCAUCUUAUUUUCUUUCUACUCUUUCUCAUCUCUGUUCCUUUGGCCUGAAGUGUUAGCCCAUUCUUUCUCAUUAUCAGUCUCCUCACUUCAAUCAGCAGUGAAUAGUGUUAGCAUUCUUGAAACUGUUUCUUGUGUGUGGGGGGUGUUCAUUGGUACUGAUGUGGUGUUUUUAGAGACAUACUGCGAAUGAGUCGCAGUUUGGCUAUUUCCCCCAGUAGCCGAUAAGAAAACACAAAGGAAAAAAAAAAAAGAGAGAUACCCAUCAACAAUAGUACCAAAGGGCAUAAAACAUUUAUGCCUAACCUUAACUAAAAAUGCUCUUGGCGCAAAUGAAGACAACUCUACAACUUAUUGAAAGCAUAUAGAAGACGAACAAUGUGACAAAGGCAACACAGCUCUCUGAACCACCCCCUUGGCUGGCAGGCAGAGGAACACUGCAGUCGCCAGCACAUGGCUCUUGGCAUGACUCAGGACUGGAAAGUUAUUAGACUACUCUGUACUUUGGUUUCUGCAUCCUGAAACCAGGAGAAAGAAAAAUCUGUACUCCACAGGACUAUUGUGAGAGUUGAGCCAAUCACUGUAAACAAAAUGUUUAGAAGUGUGUGGCAAAUUGCAAGCCCUUGCUAUAGGUUCAGCAGUUAUUUUCACCAUUUCUUACAUCAACCCCCAAUUCCAGCACCAUUUUUACAAUCAUGGCCAUCAGAGAGGCUAGCCACUCACCUUGUGUCAGUCACACUGUGCACGACUGGAUUCCUGCUCUGAUCUAUCUGAUUCAUGAUUUGAAGAUAAGGCAGAGAUAGUCAUUCUGACUUGGGCAGUCAUUCUAGAGUUCUUCUAAAAGAAUAAACAGAAAAUGUAAAAAGAAAACAUAAAGUGGGAGAUUGUAUCAACAAUGCCAAUGUUUCUGUGAAAAUAGGAAAUAAUUAAAGUAGUGGUGGUAUGUUCUUUAUUGUGAUUGUGAGAUUCAUUGUGCAACCGUAAUCCUAGCUAAAAUUAUUAAAACUUUACAUUC